rnacentral:rRNA from 1 species
UACGUAGGAGGCAAGCGUUGUCCGGAAUCACUGGGCGUAAAGCGCGUGUAGGCGGAUCGCUAAGUCUGUGGUGAAAGCGCCUGGCUUAACCGGGCGAGGUCCAUGGAAACUAGCGGUCUGGAGGCCGGUAGAGGGGGGUGGAAUUCCGGGUGUAGUGGUGAAAUGCGUAGAGAUCCGGAGGAACACCAGUGGCGAAGGCGGCAUCCUGGACCGGCAUUGACGCUGAACAGCGAAAGCCAGGGGAGCAAACGGG